GUUUUAAUAGUUUAAUUAAAAACAUUGGUCUUGUAAACCAAAAUUAAAUUAUUAUUUUUAAAACU
rnacentral:tRNA from 1 species